ACUUCGUUUGCUGGAAGAGAGAAGCACAGAGGGUGGCCUCCAUACCCAGGUCGAUGGGGACACUUUCCCUGGAGGGAGCACAGGCUGUCUACCUUCGUGUCCCUGACCUGUGACAAAAACUCAAUGGCACAGAGCAUGUCCACCACGGUGCAGUGACGAGCAUCUCCCCACCAGCUUCUGGUGGCUGCCAGCGAUCCUCAUGUCCCUUGGUUUAAUGUGGAAACACAUCACUCCAGUCUCUGCCUCUGCCUUCUCGUCCUUGCUCCUCUGUGACUUGGUCUGGAUUUAGGGCCGACCCUGAAAAUCCAGAAUGAUAUCAUCUCAAGAUCCUUAAUGGAAUUACAUCUACAAAGACCCUUAUC